ensembl:lncRNA
UGGGUGUGUUGUGGUGGGAAGGGCAGGAAUCAAAUGCAGGUGGAGCUAAUGAGGUGUUAAUUGGGCCUUGCCCACAGUUUCGUUUGUUUGGAGGGACACUGCCCAAGAUGGCUGCCCUGUGGAGAGAGAGGGAGAUGAAGCAUGAAAAAAUAAAGUAGCAGCUGUAAAAAAUAAAGUAGCAUGGAAGUUUGAACAUUUUUUUUUAUUUUCAUAUUGGACUGGCCAUUUCGGAUUUAUGUUUGGACCUUUCCCUAAAUGGAGUACUCUACGUUUCCAGAUGAAUUAUCAGACUAUCGUGUUUAAUGGACUGAAGUUUCAUCCUGGACAUUGGCUCGGGCCUGCUGCUCAAGGUUGUCCGGAGCACCUGCCUGACAGAAAUACAAUGCUGGGCGACUUAUGAUAAAGUUUGUUUCUCGGUGGGAAGGCGACCUGGUCUGGCUGGAAGGCGUGUUAGGGGCACUUGACAGGAGAUGUUCUAGGAUUCGAAGGCCGGAAAAAAUUGCAGACGAGGACACUGUUCAAUGACAGCGGGACACAGCGGAAACACAUCAAAGCAAACGGAUGGAGGCGGUCAUUGCGACGUGAAUUUGCGCGUGAAGUCAAAAGCCCUAAAGACGCACGUAUGAAGAUGGAGACGGCCCCACCCUCUACCCCACCCCUGCACUGACACACAGCUCAUCAGAACACAGAGUUCAGAGAAAUCCAAGCUUCAAUGUGGAAUCGACAACCAUGGUGUGUCUCUGAUUUGGGAGGAUGGAGGCGCCAACAGAGGCUAUUUUACUGCUGUUCUUGCAAGAGGCCUGUAAAAAGUGCAGGGUUUUGUCAUUUGUCUGCACUACUACAACACACAACUUUUACGAGCUGGGAAAGACAGGCGCCGGCCUGUGUAUCGCCUCUGGAGGAGAGGGAGAGACGACAAGCCAACACCAGGACAAGACGUUCUGAUUGGUGACUGAAGACAGAGGGUCUGAGUGGUGACUGAAGACAGAGGGUCAGUGCGGCCAGCUGCCAGACUAGAAGCUCCACAGCACUUGGAUCAGGACGACGGUCUACGGUCCAACAUGCUGCCACGAGGGGGGUGAUUCCAAUGGGGAAGCGGUGUGGCCCACCACGCCAGACGGUACCAUCAAGGCUACUCCUGAUGGCGGGGACACAGUGGGAGGAACAUGGGGGGGGGGGGGGGGGUACCUCCUCACAGCCGGCGAGGAGAACCCACGCCAUCUCUGUGGUGACGCGUCCUCCACGUUGUGCGAGAAACGGCCUGAAGAGGGCUCGGACAUGGGCAGUUGGAGAAAGGGUGGAGGAGGAGUUUUUCCCCGAGACGAGGCUGUCUUGACGCCACUCAUUUUUGUCGGAGGUGUCGGCGAUGACCUGGACCCAUCUGGCCGAUCAGAUGCUCGAGUUCGACCGUGCUGAAGUCCAGCGUUGAGGAACCCGCGAUGCUUCGGUUCACUCCCUGCUGCGUCAGCCCCACCCAGGAUUCAACGUUCCCGAAGCUCCGUCACACCAACAGGGAGCGGGAUUGUCGAACUCUUUUGAGAUUGCCGAUUACUUUGUUUGAAUAUUUUGCCCUUUGUAUUCUGUUUUAAUUGUUUGACUUUUUAUGCAGUUUCAGUUGUAUAAAUUGAAUUUGUAAAAGUCUGUAUGAUCAAUAAAAAGAAUUGCCAAAGAAAUAUGAGCCUUGUGUGAGUCCCUGUCUGGCCCUUUAUUUGUUUUUAUAGUUUUCAUUUUAAAGUGCAGUUCAAUAACGACAAAGUUGACAAAUCGAUAGCGCUAAUAAGGACGACUGCAAAAUCAACCCAGCUGUCAGCUGGAACACAAACACCUAAACACACACAAUACGCACACCGGGCUGCUGCCUUGCUGAAGAG